rnacentral:rRNA from 1 species
GUGUCAGAGCCGCGGUAAUACGGAGGGUGCGAGCGUUAAUCGGAAUUCCUGGGCGUAAAGGGCACGCAGGCGGUUAAUUCAGUUGGAUGUGAAAUCCCCGGGCUUAACCUGGGAAUGGCAUUCAAGACUGGUUAGCUAGAGUCUUGUAGAGGGGGGUAGAAUUCCAUGUGUAGCGGUGAAAUGCGUAGAGAUGUGGAGGAAUACCGGUGGCGAAGGCGGCCCCCUGGACAGAGACUGACGCUCAGGUGCGAAAGCGUGGGGAGCAAACAGGAUUAGAUACCCUGGUAGUCCACGCUGUAAACGAUGUCGAUUUGGAGGUUGUGGUCAUGAAUUGUGGCCUCCGGAGCUAACGCGUUAAAUCGACCGCCUGGGGAGUACGGCCGCAAGGUUAAAACUCAAAGAAAUUGGCGG